ACUCCUACGGGAGGCAGCAGUGAGGAAUAUUGCGCAAUGGGGGCAACCCUGACGCAGCAACGCCGCGUGAGUGAGGAAGGUUUUCGGACCGUAAAGCUCUGUCGAGUGGGAAGAAAUGUAACGUGGCUAAUAUCCAUGAUACUUGACGGUACCGCUAAAGGAAGCACCGGCUAACUCCGUGCCAGCAGCCGCGGUAAUACGGGGGGUGCGAGCGUUGUUCGGAAUUAUUGGGCGUAAAGAGCGUGUAGGCGGCUGAAUAAGUCAGAUGUGAAAUCCCUGGGCUUAACCCAGGAAGUGCAUUUGAAACUAUUCAGCUUGAGUAGGGGAGAGGAAAGUGGAAUUCCUGGUGUAGAGGUGAAAUUCGUAGAUAUCAGGAGGAACACCGGUGGCGAAGGCGACUUUCUGGCCCUAUACUGACGCUGAGACGCGAGAGCGUGGGUAGCAAACAGGAUUAGAUACCCUGGUAGUC
rnacentral:rRNA from 1 species